rnacentral:rRNA from 1 species
CCUACGGGAGGCAGCAGUGGGGAAUAUUGCGCAAUGGGGGAAACCCUGACGCAGCAACGCCGCGUGAGUGAGGAAGGACUUCGGUCUGUAAAGCUCUGUUAAUGUGGAAAAAUGGUUAGUGGUCUAAUAGGCCAUUGAUUUGAUGAUACACAUAGAGGAAGCACCGGCUAACUUCGUGCCAGCAGCCGCGGUAAUACGAAGGGUGCAAGCGUUGUUCGGAUUUAUUGGGCGUAAAGCGCGCGUAGGCGGACCUGCAAGUCAGAUGUGAAAUCUCGAGGCUCAACCUCGAAACUGCGUCUGAAACUACAGGUCUAGAAUCUUGGAGGGGGAAGGGGAAUUUCGCAUGUAGGGGUAAAAUCCGUAGAUAUGCGAAGGAACACCAGAGGCGAAGGCGCCUUCCUGGACAAGUAUUGACGCUGAGGCGCGAAAGCGUGGGGAUCAAACAGGAUUAGAUACCCUGGUAGUCACGCUGUAAACGAUGAACACUAGGUAUUGGAGGAUUUGACCCCUUCAGUGCCGUAGCUAACGCGUUAAGUGUUCCGCCUGGGAAGUACGGUCGCAAGACUAGAACUCAAAGGAAUUGACGGGGGCCCGCACAAGCGGUGGAUUAUGUGGUUUAAUUCGAAGCAACGCGCAGAACCUUACCUAGGCUUGGAAUCCUACGAAUCCCUUUUAAACGAGGGAGUGCUCUUCGGAGAAUGUAGUGACAGGCGCUGCAUGGCUGUCGUCAGCUCGUGUCGUGAGAUGUUGGGUUAAGUCUCGCAACGAGCGCAACCCCCAUCCUUAGUUGCCAGCAUUAAGUUGGGCACUCUAGGGAGACUGCCUGGGCUAACCAGGAGGAAGGUGGGGAUGACGUCAAGUCCUCAUGGCCCUUAUGUCUAGGGCUACACACGUAAUACAAUGGUCGGUACAACGGGAUGCGAACUCGCGAGGGGGAGCUAAUCUCAAAAAACCGAUCUCAGUCCGGAUUGGAGUCUGCAACUCGACUCCAUGAAGUUGGAAUCGCUAGUAAUCGCGGAUCAGCACGCCGCGGUGAAUACGUUCCCGGGCCUUGUACACACCGCCCGU